AGCCGGUCCUCACUUUCAGUUGCAGGACCAGUGGAUUUGUCACUCCGACCAGUGUCAAGAUGAAGACUACUGUCGGAAUAACUGCUCCCUCAGGAAUGAA